UACAGAGGGUGCAAGCGUUAAUCGGAAUUACUGGGCGUAAAGCGUGCGCAGACGGUUGUCGUAAGUCAGAUGUGAAAGCCCCGGGCUCAACCUGGGAAUUGCAUUUGAGACUGCGUAGCUAGGGUGCGGAAGAGGGAAGCGGAAUUUCCGGUGUAGCGGUGAAAUGCGUAGAUAUCGGAAGGAACACCAGUGGCGAAAGCGGCCUUCCUGGUCCAGCACCGACGUUCAGGCACGAAAGCGUGGG
rnacentral:rRNA from 1 species